AGAACCAGAAUUUUGCCACAGAUAUACAUACGGAGUGCGAGCCACUGUUCAGUGCAUUCCUGCUUGGCUUUAUUUCAUUCAGUGCCUGUGCUGGUACUGUGACACAAGAAGAGCCUUUUCUCAUCCAGUAAAUGCUGCCUGGCAAAUACUCUACGACUUUCUUCAUCGUGACAUUUCCAGCCCUUUACAGCACCCACAAAGAACGAAGUCACUCUGACACCAUGGUGUUCUUUUACCUGUGGUCAUCUUUUGCAUCAUUAGCUACUGCUAUAUUUUCAUCUGGCAUCUCAAGAUGGACUGGGGUUUCUUUGAUAAGAAUGCAGGAGAUAACAAUUUCCUCUGUCAAGAAAUUUUAUACCCCCAAAAAGCAUGUGUGGAACGUUUACACUUAUCCUAGAUAUAUCUUUAGAUAGGUCAUACAGCAGUACUGACACAGGUCUAGUUAACUAAUAUGAUUACAAAACAAUUAUCCCAGAUACCAAUAUAGUGCACAAAACACCUUAUCUGUUUCUUUUUUGUGUAGUAGAGCCAGUGGGACAUUUGUUAGAAUUGAGUGCCAACCCAAUCAGAGUGGGAG
rnacentral:lncRNA from 1 species